ensembl:miRNA mdo-mir-7309 mdo-mir-7309
AGGGAUGGGGAGCUCAGUCAGUGUGUUCCUCCAUUCACUCAAUGUGUUCCCCCUCUCAGG